rnacentral:rRNA from 1 species
GACGAACGCUGGCGGCGUGCUUAACACAUGCAAGUCGAACGAAGUGGCGAACGGGUGAGUAACGCGUAAUCACCCUGCCCUUCAGAGGGUGACAACAGUUGGAAACGACUGCUAAUACCGCAUACUGAGGGUGGAGCUUGGGUCUGUGUAGCUAGUUGGGGGGGUAACGGCCCACCAAGGCGAUGUUCAGUAGCCGGUCUGAGAGGAUGAACGGGCACAUUGGGACCGGGACACGGCCCAGACUCCGACGGGAGGCAGCAGGGGGGAAUCUUCCGGAAUUGACGAAAGGCUGACGGAGCAACGGCGCGUGAGGGAUGACGGGCUUCGGGUUGGAAAGCUCUGUUAAUCGGGACGCGGUACCGGAAUAGAAAGCCACGGCUAACUACGUGCCAGCAGCCGCGGUAAUAC